GGGUCAGUAGGUUGGUCGUGCCACCGGUACGUACUGGUCUCACUGAUUCCUCCUUCCUGAAGAACCGUUAUGCCAUUAAUUUGGUGUUGCGGGGAAACAGGACUGUUACUUUGAAAAAAUUAGAGUGUUUAAAGCAAGCUAACGCUCGAAUACAUUAGCAUGGAAUAAUGAAAUAGGACGAUCGAUCCUAUUUUGUUGGUUUCUAGGAUUGACGUA
rnacentral:rRNA from 1 species